rnacentral:rRNA from 1 species
UACAGAGGUCUCAAGCGUUGUUCGGAUUCAUUGGGCGUAAAGGGUGCGUAGGCGGCGCGGUAAGUCGGGUGUGAAAUUUCGAGGCUUAACUCCGAAACUGCAUUCGAUACUGCCGUGCUUGAGGACUGGAGAGGAGACUGGAAUUUACGGUGUAGCGGUGAAAUGCGUAGAUAUCGUAAGGAAGACCAGUGGCGAAGGCGGGUCUCUGGACAGUUCCUGACGCUGAGGCACGAAGGUCAGGGGGAGCAAACGGG